CCUAACAAUGCAAGUCGAGCGGUAACAGAAAGUAGCUUGCUACUUUGCUGACGAGCGGCGGACGGGUGAGUAAUGCUUGGGAACAUGCCUUGAGGUGGGGGACAACAGUUGGAAACGACUGCUAAUACCGCAUAAUGUCUACGGACCAAAGGGGGCUUCGGCUCUCGCCUUUAGAUUGGCCCAAGUGGGAUUAGCUAGUUGGUGAGGUAAUGGCUCACCAAGGCGACGAUCCCUAGCUGGUUUGAGAGGAUGAUCAGCCACACUGGGACUGAGACACGGCCCAGACUCCUACGGGAGGCAGCAGUGGGGAAUAUUGCACAAUGGGCGCAAGCCUGAUGCAGCCAUGCCGCGUGUGUGAAGAAGGCCUUCGGGUUGUAAAGCACUUUCAGUCAGGAGGAAAGGUUAGUAGUUAAUACCUGCUAGCUGUGACGUUACUGACAGAAGAAGCACCGGCUAACUCCGUGCCAGCAGCCGCGGUAAUACGGAGGGUGCGAGCGUUAAUCGGAAUUACUGGGCGUAAAGCGUACGCAGGCGGUUUGUUAAGCGAGAUGUGAAAGCCCCGGGCUCAACCUGGGAACUGCAUUUCGAACUGGCAAACUAGAGUGUGAUAGAGGGUGGUAGAAUUUCA
rnacentral:rRNA from 1 species